rnacentral:rRNA from 3 species
CACCGCGGUUAAACGGGAGGCCCAAGUUGAAAGACAGCGGCGUAAAGCGUGGUUAAGGUACUAUAUUAAAUAGGGCCGAAUAGUCUCAAAGCAGUCAAAUCUAUUCGAGACCACGAAGCACAUCCACGAAGGUGGCCCUAACACCCCUGACCCCACGAAAGCCAUAACA